UACAGAGGUCCCAAGCGUUGUUCGGAUUCACUGGGCGUAAAGGGUGCGUAGGUGGUGAGGUAAGUCGGAUGUGAAAUCUCCAAGCUCAACUUGGAACUGCAUUGGAAACUACCUUGCUAGAGGAUUUGAGGGGGGGAUUGGAAUACUUGGUGUAGCAGUGAAAUGCGUAGAUAUCAAGUGGAACACCAGUGGCGAAGGCGAAUCCCUGGAAAUCCUGACACUGAGGCACGAAAGCUAGGGGAGCAAACAGG
rnacentral:rRNA from 1 species